CCUAGAUGUCACUAGCUGUUGGGGCCGUUAGGCCUUAGUAGCGCAGCUAACGCGUGAAGUUGACCGCCUGGGGAGUACGGUCGCAAGAUUAAAACUCAAAGGAAUUGACGGGGACCCGCACAAGCGGUGGAUGAUGUGGAUUAAUUCGAUGCAACGCGAAAAACCUUACCUACCCUUGACAUGUCUGGAAAGCCGAAGAGAUUUGGCCGUGCUCGCAAGAGAACCGGAACACAGGUGCUGCAUGGCUGUCGUCAGCUCGUGUCGUGAGAUGUUGGGUUAAGUCCCGCAACGAGCGCAACCCUUGUCAUUAGUUGCUACGCAAGAGCACUCUAAUGAGACUGCCGGUGACAAACCGGAGGAAGGUGGGGAUGACGUCAAGUCCUCAUGGCCCUUAUGGGUAGGGCUUCACACGUCAUACAAUGGUCGGGACAGAGGGUCGCCAACCCGCGAGGGGGAGCCAAUCUCAGAAACCCGAUCGUAGUCCGGAUCGCAGUCUGCAACUCGACUGCGUGAAGUCGGAAUCGCUAGUAAUCGCGGAUCAGAAUGUCGCGGUGAAUACGUUCCCGGGUCUUGUACACACCGCCCGUCACACCAUGGGAGUGGGUUUCACCAGAAGUAGGUAGCCUAACCGUAAGGAGGGCGCUUACCACGGUGGGAUUCAUGACUGGGGUGAAGUCUACAAAGGGAAACCGGGAACCGGAUUC
rnacentral:rRNA from 1 species